AUAAAAUUAAUUGCUUAUAAAUAAUAAUGAGAAAAAUAUUUUAGUGUUUGUAGUAGGGUAAAUCGAAUAAAGAAGAAGGCUUAAGUGUAUUUUACUGUAAAGGAGAUUUGAAAUAAUUGAAAAUUAAGUAUGUAGAAAGUAGUAAUUAAAUUAUGUACCUUGUGUAUUAUAGGUGCUUAAAUUUAUGUAUUUAAAUUACAUAUCUCGAAAGAGGAAAUAGCUAGGGUAAUAAGAAAGUUUUUGUGGAAUAAAGAUUUUAAAUUUUAUUUCUAAGAGUGAAAUAUUAAUUGAGUUCUCUAAUAUCUAGUUUUUUGAGAAAUAAAUUUAAUUUAGCUUUUUUAUAUAAAUUUAUAGGAAAAGUAAGGGUAGAGGGGGCGAGCUCUUUAUCAUAUAAUUAUAUGAGGAGGAAAGAAUUAACUAAUUGAACUAAGCUUAAAAUUAGCUAUGUUUAUAAGGUGUUAUAAUUAAUAUUAAAGUUGUAAAUUAUUUUUAUAUCCUUUAAAUUCAUAUCGAAAAUUAAUUUAAAAUCUUAUAAAGUAGGUUAUAGUGAGUAUAUUAGUAUAUAAUGAUGUAGGAGGAAUAUAUGUAAAAUGAAGAAUAAAUUUUAUUUUUUUUAUGGUAGGUUCAAGGAACUCGGCAAAUAAUUAUUUCUGCCUGUUUAACAAAAACAUGUCUAUAUGAGAGGUAUAUAAAGUCUAACCUGCCCAUUGAGAUUUAAAAGGCCGCGGUAUUAUGACCGUGCUAAGGUAGCAUAAUCAUUAGUCUUUUAAUUGAAGGCUGGUAUGAAUGGUUGGACAAGAGAUAAGCUGUCUCGAGCAAAAAUAUUGAAUUUAACUUUUAAGUGAAAAGGCUUAAAUUUUCUAGGGGGACGAUAAGACCCUAUAAAACUUUAUAUUUUAAAAAUAUUAAUUAAUUUUGUAUGAGAAGGCUAUUUUUAAAUAUUUUAUUGGGGUGAUAGGAAUAUAAUAAAAGAUAACUGUUUCUUUUUUUUUACAGAGGUGUUUGAGUAAAAGAUCCUAAUUAGGGAAAGAAGGUUAAGUUACUUUAGGGAUAACAGCGUAAUUUUCUUUAAGAGUUCUUAUCAACAGGAGAGUUUGCGACCUCGAUGUUGAAUUAAAAGUUCUUUAUGGAGCAGAAACUAUAAUAGAAGGUCUGUUCGACC
rnacentral:rRNA from 1 species